AUUCGAUGAUGAGGGCAACUAGCAUAAAGUUUCUUGAACUGCUCCCAAUACUCAUACAAACUUUCCUCACUGUACUGCCACAUACCACAAAUCUCCUUCUGAAU